GGGCACUACACUCUAAAAAAAAAAGGUUCCUUGAGGUUCUAUAUAGAACCGUGGGGUUCUAUACUUGGCCAAUAGAACCUUUUACCAAAAAACGGGUUCCAUAUAGAACCCUUGGAAGGCAAAGAACCAUUUUUAUUAAAAUGGUUCUAUAAUUCACGUUUUGUGACUGAAGUGUAAACUAAAGAUUACACAAUAAUUGCAGACCUACACAACUCAUUUACAAACCUACACAACUCAUUCACAAACCUUUUUGUGUCAAUAGGUUGUGGUCAAAUAAAGAGAGAGUCAACAAAUAGGCUACUAAUAUUUAGUGUACACUGUAAAAAAUCCAACUAAUGAAAUGUUGGACGGGCAAAAAUAUAUAAGUUAAACCAAUUUUUUUGUUUGAGCUAGUUGAGAAGAUCUGUGUUUAAAAUAUUAAAUGAAUGGUUAUUUUCAAAUCCAGUCAACAUUCAGAAUGGCUAGUGUUGACUGAACUAAUUAAGACAAAUCAGGUAAAUAUGUGGACUUAUGACAGCUAUGUUUCCUGACAACAAAAUGCUCAUAAUAUUACUGUUAUUUGGUCACAAAAUGUAAUUGUAAGAGUUGUUCAGGCGUGAAUGUAUGUGCUUAAAGUUUAAAUAUGCGGUCGGUUAAUAAAGAAUAGCGUCUAUUUAAAAAUGUGCUCGGACACUUUCGGACGUAGAUGAGCUCCAUAUGAGCUCCAGAAAAUCACAGACACUUAAGCGCUCACACCCCGCCCAGCGCAGCCUCUCCUCGGCAAGCCCAUCAGACUGCUGGCUCUGAUAUCUCUGUGGCGUUUAAACAUGUGAUUUAAUUCAUUUUGAUUUCUCAUACUUAACAAUGAAAGGGUUAUGUUUUAAAUAAUAUUUUAGGAUUGCACUUAAUUGAUAUUGCUGUUGAGUGAUGUUUCAUAUCUUUUACAUUUGUUAUAACCGGACUGCAUGCGAAUUUGAACUUCAGAGCUGAGGAAGCGGGUGGAGAAAUAGUCCCAAUAUCAUAACAAUCUUAAAUAAAACUUCUAAAUAUGCCCGUGUGUGUACCCGUGUGCGCGCGCGCGUGCGCGCGACCCGCUCACGCGCGCGUGUGUAUGUACAGUAUGUGCGUGAGUUUUUAAUUUAAAAUGUCUUAACUUAACUCGGAAGGAUCUGAAUGACAGGUCAUUUCAUCUGAGAUCAUUCCGCAUGUAACAGCCGGAAUCACUCACUGUUUCCCACAACGACACAAGUCAUCAGCCGUUUCCUCAAGGUCACGUCAGAGGGGUGGUGAUGUGGAGAGGCAGACCAGACCACCACCAUACGCGAAGAUGAGCCUCGAGGCUUGACAGUUAUUUUUUUCAAACUGAGGAGUUCGGACUCCGGACCGGCAUUUCUGCUUGUUUGUACCCUGAGGUAAGUAAACUUUCUACAUUUUUGAAACGAUAUUACUGAAAUAUUUAGUAUAAUUAGUUAAUAUUUAUUUUGUUAGAGUAGGUCUUGUGCUAAAUAGUGAUACUAGAAGCUACAUUUAUAAUAUUAUUUACCUCAGUUAAAAAAUACUGCUGGUAUAAAGCACUGACGGGCUUCGUCAACCGUCAGUUAUAAAAGCUCUGUUAAAUACAUUUUGUUCCUGGUUUUAAUGAAUUACGUUACAGUCCUGCUUUAUUUCUUUGUCAUUUUCAAUUAAAUUGCCAAGCACAAUAAGACAGCUGUGUUGUAAGGAGACGAAAUUCGAGACAGGGGUGUUUUCAAUGAAGCGCGUGGUCAAAGGAACCGGGUGGAAGACGGUGGAAGGGAAAUUAUAUGUAAAUGUUUGUCGCAGUUUUACACAUAUUCCGUGAGUAUUUUUCGCUUGUUCACGAGUGUUUGAUCAGGGUUGGAGCUAAACCUUGAAGGAAAGUGGAAACUGCUGGCCACAGUUAAGAACGUUCUGCUGGUCUGUAUUAUAAAUGCACGAUUGCAGUGCAGCGUUUGUAUCCGCAAGUCUAGAUAUGCAUGUUUUCUGUGAUGCACACAAUUAAUUAAUGUGAUGGUAGCUGUUAAGACACUUACAUUUAACAUUCAAAUGUUUUAAAAACCAAACGUGUUCAGGUUUUUAUGUGUAUUUGGUUUGUGAAGUGUAAUUUUUUUUUCCUCUCCCUCACAGAUAACCAUGGUUAAUAAAUGGUCAGACACGCCACUGGCUUUAAAAUAUAAACCCCAUUGAUGCAAAAAGGAGCUGCAUGGAAUGACAAUGUGGUUUGGAACAGACUUGGUGAAGAACAUGGAAACAUCAUCAGGAGUGCAAAAGAAGGAAGUAAAAAACAUCUCUACGCCAAUCUCAUUGGAGAGGAAACCACAGAAGGUCUGGUGAGGAAUGCUGCACUUAUGUUAUUGCAAACAUUAUUUCAAGAAAAUCCCAGCUUCCUUUACUGUGUAAAUAGUGAACCCAAAGGUCCCACACCAACCAUAGUGUUCAACGGCUCUCCUGAUCUUUUCAAAUCUGAAUGUAUCAACUUUAUAAUGGACAAUGUGAACUUAAUAUGUGGAAGACAUUGACAUCACAGGCUGUGGAAUGACUGUGUCACAGGUCGGAGAAGCGGACCGCCCCUGUCGCGGAUCACGCUCCUCCUAGUUCCACCUCGAGGAGGUCCCAAAGCACCCCAAUGACCAGACAAACCAGAGGGGGAGUAUUACGGGGCCAGGGACGUUGGAGGGGUUUCCACGUGACUCCAGCUGGAACACCGCUACAGAGCGUAUCUGGGUGGGUUGGGCACACACCGUCGCGGCGGCCCCUGAUGGCAUCCACAAGGGUCCAAGACCCUCCUAAGCUCCUAGCCGUAGCAGAACUACGUAUUUCAGCACCCGAAGGACUAACAACCCAGCCGGCAUCUGCAGCUUAUAUCCAACGCGAUCAAACUUCACUCUGACAAGUAACUUCCUAUACACAACCACGCCGUCCUUUCGCCCGGACCAGCCCCGCACUCUUUCCGCCCGCUACCUAGCGGUUGCCGGAUCAGCAGAGCCUGCGGACUCUUCGGAGGCUGGUCUUUGUUGUGCUGCCCAAGGCGGAAGUUGACUCGCCCGAAAAUCGAACCUUCCAGUAACUACUACCUUCUCUCUAUAUAUCCUCCUCCCAGGCGUGGCUCCCCCAACCAUCGCUCGCCACAUCACUCACACAGCUGUGCCUUGUUUCAGCGAGUGCGGGGAUUCCCGGGGAACCCUGAAGUGCCGGUGUCUGUACAAACCGGUCCGGGCGGAACCUCUUCACUCUCCUUUUGGUUCCGCCCCGCAUAGUCACUCUGUGACAACUGCUUGCGUUUUUUUUUCUCUUCAAUGUUCAAUACCCUUUUGCCAUUAAGCACACAGUGACUUUAAUUUAUAAAAUAUAUGCUUAAGUUUUAAUACCUGUACAAAACAAAUGUACAAUCAACUUGUGUUAAUUGUCAUUCUAUUUAAUAGAUUGUUCAUGAAUUGUCUUUAAAUGCAUUGUGAUUUCGGUAACACUUUACAAUAAAGUUCAUUAGUUAACAUUAGUUAAUGUAUUAACUAACUUGAACAAACCAUAAGCAAUACAUUUGUUACAGUAUUUAUUCAUCUUUGUUAAUAUUAGUUAAUAAAAAUUUAAGCUUUAAUUGCUUGUUCAUGUUAGUUCAGAGGGCAUUAACUAAUGUUAACAAGAUUUUAAUAAAGUAAAUUGUUGAAAUUAACAUUAACAAAGAUUAAUAAAGGCUGUAUAAGUGCAGUUCAUUAUUAGUUCAUGUUAACUAAUGUAGCUAACUAAUGUUAACUAAUGAACCUUAUUGUAAAGUGUUACCGUGAUUUCUUUUCAUCAUUUCAGACACAUGUAAAAGUUACAAAAAAUUAAUACUGCAUAUACUGUACAGUAUCUAUGCGUAAGGGAAAUAACUUAAACAAAAUUUUUAAUGUAUAGUGUAAUUAAGAGUUUAGCUGUUUAAUACAGAGAUGCAAUUUAUUUAUAUAUAUUAUUUAUAUAUAAACGUAUGUAUGUUUAUUAAAAAGUGAAAAUGCUUAAUGGAAAUAAUUAAAUAACUAAAUGGUUGAAUGUAAUGAGACAUUUUAAAUGUAAACUAAAGUUUUGCUGUCUAAUACAGAAUAAAGAGAUGUGAUUUUAAGUAA